rnacentral:rRNA from 1 species
UACGUAGGGGGCAAGCGUUGUCCGGAAUCAUUGGGCGUAAAGAGCGUGUAGGCGGCCAGAUAAGUCCGCUGUGAAAUCUCGAGGCUCAACUUCGAGCUGUCGGUGGAAACUGUCUGGCUAGAGUCCGGAAGAGGAGAAUGGAAUUCCUGGUGUAGCGGUGAAAUGCGCAGAUAUCAGGAAGAACACCCGUGGCGAAGGCGGUUCUCUGGGACGGUACUGACGCUGAGACGCGAAAGCGUGGGGAGCAAACGGG